rnacentral:lncRNA from 1 species
AUAACACAUUUAGGAAUUUAAGAUGCAUUAAUAAUCUAUUCAGGGCUCCAGCGGUGGUAUAUGAGUAUGGAUGCUGAGAGUCAAAGGAAUAAGCUUGUUUUUUUUAAUGCCCUAGUUUCCUGCUAUGCAAAUAUCUAGGAGCAUUAAAAAGAUGAAACGCAGAUAUCUGCUACAUAUAUUGUUAAUACUGCCCACAUUUAUAGUGUGGACAAGUGAUGAGGAAUAAUAAUUAUAAUGAAGCAGUUUUAAACAGGUUCAGGAAGAAUUAGCCAUAAGGAAGAUACUGCUGAGAUGCUUAUGAAAGCUAUGGAGUUGUCCCUUGUGAUGUGCUUUGUCAGGCAGAACUAAUUAUCUGUGGAUGAUAAGAGAAAAUAUGGUGAAAAACAGCAGCCAUUUCCCAUAGCGGGAGUAUCCAUUUAAAACCCAACAACUCCCUGAACCAUGAGAUAAUUGAAACAGUACCAAAGCUGGCAUGAAUAACAAGGCCUGUACUGUCUUUCUUGGAAAGUUGGAGGUGGGGGGCGAGGGAGGCAGUGAAAAUAACUUCAAACACAUCUCAGAAAAAUUAAAUUUUAUUCCAACUGAUCGACGUUAUCCAAUUAGAAAAAGAAGGGAGUUAUUAAACGUACCCAAAGUAGGCUUUCUAACCAGAAAAUUAACUUAGCUUCCCCCAGUUUGCAGAUGGCAUAAUCUGAUGUCUCUCGACUUCAUACUUUGCAAUUUUAACACAAAAGCGAACCUUAAAGAUUUUUUUUUAGUGUGUCUUUGCCUGUGUAUUCAGCAACCAAAAUGAACAUUUAAGGGUCUUGAUAAAUGUUUUUUCCAAAUGAAAAGAGAUGUUAUCUCAGAAUACUUACAUAUUUUAACCAAACUUUCAGAAUCUGUAUCAAAAAGGAAGUUAUUUUUGAACUCAGGAUUCCUGUAAUAGCAGCAAAGAAUGAUUUACAGACUUGAUGGCUGCUGAUUCAGUCUCAUACUGUCCUGCUUCAACAUCUCAAAAUUUCCAGAGCUGGGACAUUGUCUCAGGAAGUCCUCAAGACCCAGCAGCCUCUAUGGAUCUUUUUGCUCUACUUAGACUGCAGCUUUUUUUUAUCCUGGUACCUAGAUGGCUGCUGCAACUCCAGGCAUCACAGCAGCGCUCUGCUCAAGAGGAAGAAGAGAAGGUCAAAUGGCAAAAACCUUGA